UACGGGGGGGGCAAGCGUUGUUCGGAAUUACUGGGCGUAAAGGCUCGUAGGCGGCCAACUAAGUCGGACGUGAAAUCCCUCGGCUUAACCGGGAACUGCGUCCGAUACUGGAUGGCUUGAGUUCGGGAGAGGGAUGCGGAAUUCCAGGUGUAGCGGUGAAAUGCGUAGAUAUCUGAGGAACACCGGUGGCGAAGGCGGCAUCCGUGGACCGGCAUUGACGCUGAGGCGCGAAAGCCAGGGGAGCAAACGGGG
rnacentral:rRNA from 1 species